UCAGUACCGGUGGGAUCCUCUCGAGAUUCGCGUCCUAUCAGCUCGUUGGGGAGGUGAUGGCUCACCAAGACGACAACGGGUAGCCGGCAUGUGAGGGCGACCGGCCACCCUGGGACUGAGACACGGCCCACACUCCUUCGGGUGGCAGCAGUGGGGCAUAUUUCACAAUGUGAGAAAGCAUGACGCAGCGGAGUCGCGCGGGGGAUGACGGCCUUCGGGUUGUAAUCCCCUUUCAGUAGGGAAGAAGCGAGAGUUCCGGUACCUGCAGAAGAAGCGCCGUCUAAGCAGUAUCCAGCAGCCUCUGUAAUAUGUAGGGCGCAAGCUUUGUUCGGAAUUAUUGGGCGUAAAGAGAUUGUAGGUGGCUCAAUAAUUCUGCCGUGAAAACCCGAGGCUCAUCUUCGGGCGUGCGGUGGGUACGAGCAGGCUAGACUGUGGUAGGGGAGACUGGACAUUUUGGUGUACCGGUGAAAUGGUCAGAUAUCAGGAAGAACACAUCCCCCGAAGGCAGGUCUCUGGGCCAUUUUUGACACAGAGAAGCGAAAGCAUGGGUAGCGAACAGGAUUAGAUACCGUGGUAGUCCAUGCCGUAAACGUUGGGCUCUUGGUGUGGGGGACAUUUCACGUUUUCCGCCCUGUAGAGCAGGCCCUCACCAACAAGCUGGGGAGUCGGGA
rnacentral:rRNA from 1 species